ACAACAGCACAUAUUAUCCAGCGAGGGUGGGGGUAUUCAGAAUGAGCAUAUAUAAAUAUAUUGACUACGAGAAUGUGGGAAAAGUUAAUCAAUUACAAAAAACACCAGAUUAUCAUACAUAGUGAGCAAUGCAUGAGAAUGAAAUAACGGUUCGUAAUUGUGUAGCCUAAUUUGUCGAGGAUUCUAAUAUUAUUAGUGAUCUUUAACCUUAAUUAUGCGGGGUUGUCUUGUUCACACGUCACUUAACUUUGCACGCGCUGUUACCGAUAGCAGUUUUCAGGAAAGAAAAAUGUUUAUUUAAAAAGUGCAGGUUAAAACAGUGCGUUUAAGGCGAUAAUGCAACUUGCAGUUUGUAGCUUUAAUUUCUGUAUUCGGAAUAGUUGCAGACAUGCUUUUUCGUGAUUUAUUCGCUCGACUGCACCCGCACAAUGAAAUUUGCCAAUGGGCGAAUGGAUAAUGUCGGAGCAACCCGAGGCCAUGAAUGAUAGCUGUACUUCUCAAGGACAGAAUAGAUAAGUAUCAAAGAAAUCGCAGUUAAGGAGGUAGUGGUGUUCGGUGCCAACCUGACCCGAAUUACAUAGCCUGCAGACUCUAUCUUCAAAUGGGGUUCCGUCGUAUCGGCCUGUCUCGACUGGAAACCAGUGGUUAGCAGUCCUGAAUUGGAAUAGGUAAAUGUAUUCUUUUUUGGUGAGUUUAAUAAGGUAGUUUUCAAGGGAUGGUGAUUGUUUGAAGCUGGUAUAUAUUUGUCCUUUGUGUGUUUGCUGUAAUUGGUGGUGCCAUUGGGUUUUGAACUGAGUUAGUAACUGUGAUUUAACUAAGCGGUGGAUAUUAAUUUGGUUUAUUUGAAACUGAUUAUCCCAUAUGCUACUUUGGUUAACUGAUGUGAGUAUUUCUUUUAUUUUGUUUGACCACUUAAAAUUUGAGUUUGGGAGGUUCAUCAUGUACUUAUAAAUCUGAUGUGAUAUUUUCUGUUCUUUGCCUUGAAGAGUUCUACACCAGAAGGAGAUCAUACGAGUUUUAAUAUUGAUUGCAAUUGGAUGCCUGCCAAGUUCACCGUAUAGAAAAGAUAUAGGAGUAGAUUUUCUGGCUUUAGUAAUUUUUCUGAGGAAGUUGUUGUGUACUCUCUCCAGAAUGUCUAUGUUUUCAAAACCAAAUAUUUCUGAACCAUAUGUUAAAAUUGGUAGCACUGUGUGGUCGAAAAGUUUAAGGAUUAAGUCUAUGGGAAGUUCUGCGUUGUUUGCUCUGAUAUAUAAUAGGUGCAUUGCUUUUGUUGCU